UACGUAGGGACCAAGCGUUGUUCGGAUUUACUGGGCGUAAAGGGCGCGUAGGCGGCGUGACAAGUCACUUGUGAAAUCUCUGAGCUUAACUCAGAACGGCCAAGUGAAACUGUUGUGCUAGAGUGCAGAAGGGGCAAUCGGAAUUCUUGGUGUAGCGGUGAAAUGCGUAGAUAUCAAGAGGAACACCUGAGGUGAAGACGGGUUGCUGGGCUGACACUGACGCUGAGGCGCGAAAGCGUGGGGAGCAAACAGG
rnacentral:rRNA from 1 species